AGACUAGAGGUCCACCACACACAGACUAGAGGUCCACCACACACAGACAAUAGGUCCACCAAAUAAGCAAGAGGUCCACCACACACAGACUAGAGGUCCACCACAC